ACGGCUCAGUAACACGUAGUCAACAUGCCCAGGGGACGUGGAUAACCUCGGGAAACUGAGAUUAAACCGCGAUAGGUCAAGAUUUCUGGAAUGGAUCCUGUCCUAAAUCUACAUGGCCCCUGGAUUGGACUGCGGCCGAUCAGGCUGUUGGUGAGGUAAUGGCCCACCAAACCUAUAACCGGUACGGGCUCUGAGAGGAGAAGCCCGGAGAUGGGCACUGAGACAAGGGCCCAGGCCCUAUGGGGCGCAGCAGGCGCGAAACCUCUGCAAUGGGCGAAAGCCUGACAGGGUUACUCUGAGUGAUUUCCGCUAAGGAGAUCUUUUGGCAGCUCUAAAAAUGGUGCAGAAUAAGGGGUGGGCAAGUCUGGUGUCAGCCGCCGCGGUAAUACCAGCACCCCGAGUGGUCGGGACGAUUAUUGGGCCUAAAGCAUCCGUAGCCGGUUGUGCAAGUCCUCCGUUAAAUCCAGCCGCUCAACGGAUGGGCUGCGGAGGAUACUACAGGACUAGGAGGCGGGAGAGGCAAGCGGUACUUAGUGGGUAGGGGUAAAAUCCUUUGAUCCAUUGAAGACCACCAGCGGCGGAGGCGGCUUGCCAGAACACGCUCGACGGUGAGGGAUGAAAGCUGGGGGAGCAAACCGGAUUAGAUACCCGGGUAGUCCCAGCUGUAAACGAUGCAGACUCGGUGAUGGGCUAGCCUCGUGUCAGCCCAGUGCCGCAGGGAAGCCGUUAAGUCUGCCGCCUGGGGAGUACGGUCGCAAGACUGAAACUUAAAGGAAUUGGCGGGGGAG
rnacentral:rRNA from 1 species